rnacentral:tRNA from 1 species
GAAAAUCCGUCGCUUUAAAAUCGUGAGGGUUCAAGUCCCUUAUCCCCAA